rnacentral:lncRNA from 1 species
AUCUGACUGAGGCUUCCAUCGGGAAGUGCACGCUCCAUUAACAGUUGCACGGCAAGUUUUUUUAAAAGCCCGGAAAGCUACGCAUUAGAGAAGGAUGGCUUUCAUUUGCAGCUGGCACCAGAAUCAUUUUUAAGAGUGUGAGGUUUGGCACCUUGGUAAUUACUUCUGGUUGACACCAGAGAAAUGCUUUCUGGCAGCACUUAAAUAUAUUCGUAUCAACUGAAGUCGUCCGCUGUGCAGGAAGGGUCUCAGAGCCACAUGGGAACAAAUCUCUAGGAUUAUCCAGCAUAGGUUCGUUAUGAUGGGAAGACCCUACGUGUAGGUAGUCCAGGAGUCCCAGACUGAAGAGAUGAAUAAAAAGAAGAGAGCAAGUGGACAGCGGUCCUGCCCACAAACGUGAUGUGAAGUGACCUGCCUCCCAAGCUCCUGCCGCUGUGUCUUCCCCACGAGGACAGACUCUGUCUCCGCCAAGACUUCUGUGACCUUUUACAUUCUGUCAGGAUCUUUCAGCAGCAUCCAGGCAAGCAUGGCACAAGCAGAGCUGAGAGUUCUACAUCUUCAUCCAAAGGCUGCUAGUGGAAGACUGACUUCCAGGCAACUAAGGGUGAGGAUCUUAUGCCCACACCCACAGUGACACACCUACUCCAGCCAGGUCACACUUAUUCCAACAAGGUCACACCUCCAAAUGGUGCCACUCCCUGGUCCAAGAAUAUACAAACCAUCACAACCCCCAAUCAUAAAAUUAUUUUCAUCACUAUUUUAUACCCAUAAUGAUGCUACUGUCAUGAAUUAUAAUGUAAAUAUCUGACAUGUCCAAUGGUCUUAGGUGACCUCUGUGAAAGGGUCACUCGACCCCUAGAGAGGUUGCGACCCACACAUUGAGAACCAGUGC